rnacentral:lncRNA from 1 species
AGCCAUACACAUAUCCACACAAGGCCAGGCAGUGUGCAGCAAAGUUUACAUGUCUGCUUGUUUAAUCUUCACAAUGACUACGUGACAUUAUUCAGAUAGCCUCAUUUCCGUCAUUAUAAAGAUGAGAGAAGUGGAAGUUCAGAGACAGCAAAUUAUUGCUCAAAGUCACAUACCCAGGCGGGGCAGCACCAGGUCCCCUGAACCCCAGGCCCUCCCUCUCACCCUGGCACUCUGCCAAAUGACUGCUAAUGAGAAUAUAUGCUCUGAAGGAAGAUAUGAAAAAAAUUGCUUCCACUGAGGGUGUUCUGGGACACAGAGGCAGUGGGAUCUUAAAGAGAAGGCUUUUCAUCGGUGGAGUGGAAGAACAAUAGCAGAGAGAGCUGCCCCCAGUGGAAGGGGAGCUAUCGGAAGCCUUGGAUGCCCAGGAGCUGAGGAGGGAACCAUGCUGUGAUGCCAGUUUUAACCACCUGCCAAGUCUGAAAGUGCUAAUUGAGCUAGAGUACAGUGGCGCAAUCUCAGCUCGCUGCAACCUCUGCCUCCCAGGUUCAAGCGAUUCUCCUGCUUCAGCCUCCCCAGUACCUGGGAUUACAGCCCCCUGCCACCACGCCCGGCUAAUUUUUGUAUUUUUAGUAGAGACGGGGUUUCACCAUGUUGGCCAGGCUGGUCUCAAACUCCUGACAUCAGGUGAUCUGCCCGCCUCGGCCUCUCAGAGUGCUGGGAUUACAAGCGUGAGCCACCGUGCCCGUCCCAUUUCUAGUAAUUAUCUUAAGAAAAUAAUCAAACAUGUAUACGAAGAUAUCUGUACAAGGGUGUUCAUCGUAGUAUUAAUGCUAACAGUGAAACAUUGGUAUAUUAUUCUGUUCUCCCAUUCCUAUAAAGAAAAACCUGACACUGGGUAAUUUAUAAAGAAAAAGGCUCUCAUUGGCUCACGGUUCUGCAGGCUGUAUUAGAGGCUUGAUGUUGGCAUCUACUUGGCUUCUAAGGCGGCCUCAGAAAGCUUCCAAUCAUGGCGGCAGGUGAAGGCAGGGAGCACGCAGGUCACAUGGCUGGAGCAGGAGCAAGAGAGAGAGCGAGGGGGGAGAUGCCACACACUUUCAAACGACCAGAUCGAGUGAGAAUUCACUGAACUAUCAUGAGAACAGCACCAAGAGGAUGGUCCUAAAGCAUCUGUGAGAAAUCCACCCCCCUGAUCCGAUCACCUCCCACCAGGCCCCAUCUCCAACACUGGGGAUUAUAUUUCAAUAUGAGAUUUGGGCAGGGACACACAUCCAAACCAUACCAACUGGCAACACUGUAAAUAUUCAGUGGUCAAAUGUGAAACUAUAUUGUAAGUUAUGGCAAAUUUAUGCACGGAAUAUGGCACAGAUAUUAAAACAUCACAUUUUCAAAUUCAUUAAUGGCAUACAGCAUUGCUGACAAUGUAUUAUAGAAAAGAAAAUGACCCACUUUCAAUUUUAAAGGGAUGUGUGUGUGUGUAUAUAGUUGCAGUUUUACAUAUACAUGGUUGGCCAGCCGUGAUGGCUCAUACCUGUAAUCCCAGCACUUUGGGAGGCCAAGACAGGUGGCUUGCUUGAGCCUCAGGGGUUUGAGACUAGCCUGAGCAAUAUAGCAAGACCUCAUGUCUAUUUUUUAAAUAAAAACAAUAAAAAAUAAAAAAUAUGUACACAUGAUUAUACAUAGUAAAAAGAUUGGCAUUAAAUAUGCUAAAAUGUUAACCUUGAUUAUCUCUUACAGCUAGGAAUCUGGGUGAAUACUGUUAUUCCACACAUAAUUUUCUAUAUUUUCUACCAUGAACAGGCAUUACAUCUGUAACCAUAAAAAUAAUGUUAUUUUGUUUAUUGAAGUUCAUUUAUUUAUAUUCUGUUUCUAAAAUGAUUUCAGUAUUGGAAAAGGAAUUGACUCAUUACUUCACAAAUAUAAAAAGCAAUAUCAAAAUCCAUAAUGUGAAUAUUUGUUUGCCUGGGGCCAACUUACCAAAUCAAGAACUGCACAAAUGAAUGAAGUAUGCAGCAGAUUCAGAGCCUGGUGAUGUACUUUGAUUUCAUACAUAAUAUUGAAACAUUUACAGUUAUGUCUAUAAUCUGACCUUAGUGCCCAGCCUCAUGAAACAAUCUAUUUUUCCCUUUUUUGGUCAAUGUCUUUCCAUACACAUGUGUUGAGGGGUGACUGUCCCCUCAAGGAAGAGGAAAUCUACUAUACUGUGUACCAUGCAAAUAUUUUUCUAGGCUGAGAUUAUUACUUCCAGAAAAAGGGAGAUUACUGCUUUCUAAUGUUUUUCAGUUUAAAUAAUUCUGCUAGUGUGGUCUUUUACAUUCAGGUAAAAUCUGACUACCUAAAAAUUCCUCAUCUUGAAAUUAGAUAAGAUAUUGGCCUUUCAAUUCUGGAGGUCAUCAUUUCUAUCUGUCCCCAGCUCUUUUUUACCUAUUUUAUCAGCUCCUUGAACUUUUCUACACACAAUGCGAUGUCCAGAACUCUCUUCCUUACUGAUACAGUUAUCACAUGCCAUAUCUGUAUGCAUUUUCUUGAAAUGUGGUAACAGAUGUGUACACAUAUGGUUUAAUGUGUACAGAAUGCAGAGUCACUACCCUCUUCCUGAACGGGACGAACACCAACAAUGCAGGUUGUCACAUCACACACUGACACAUGCAUUCAACGUGGGCCAAGAAAACAAAAAUAUUAAUAAAAACAAAUUUUCCCAGGGGCUUUUUAUGUCAGGUUUUUGUAUUCAUCUGCUUGGGAUGCCAUAAAAAAAUACCACAGACUGGGUGACUUAAACAAUGGACAUUUAUUUCCUCACAUUCCGGAGGCUGGAAGUCCCUGAUCAAAAUGCUGGCUGAUUUGGUUGCAGGUGAGGGCUCUCUUCCUGGCUUACAGACAGCUGCCUUCUCACUAUGCCCUCACAUGGCCUUUCCUCUGUGUGCCUGCAGAGAGCAAGAGCUUUGGUCUCUCUUCUUCUUCUAAGGACACCAGUCGUAUCAGAUUUAGGCCCCACCCUUAUGACCUCAUUUAACCUUAAUUAUCUCCUUAAAGGCCCUGUCUCCAAACACCACAUUGGGGGCUAGGUCUGCAAGAUAUAAAUUUGGGGGAGACACAUUUCAGUACACAACAGUUUUGUCAAGUCAAGAGUUACAUGUCUAGCAGGGCAUGGUGGCUCAUGCCUGUGAUCCCAGCACUUUGGAAGGCCGAGAGAGGAUUGCUUGAGGCCAGGGGUUUGAGACUAGCCUAGGCAACAUAGCAAGACUCUGUGUCUCAAAAAAAUUAAACAAUUUGCUGGGCAGAGUGGCAUGCACCUGCAUUCCCAGCUACUUGAAAGACUGAGGUGAGAAGAUCACUUGACCCCAGGAGUUUGAGGCUCCAGUGAGCUAUGAUGGCACCACUGCACUCCAGCCUGGGUGACAGAGCAAGACCCUGUCUCUAAAAGGAAUAAAGAAAUAAAACGUACAAUAACCUGCCUAAAUAUUUCUAUUCUUGCCUAUCCACAAUUACGUCCCCACAGGCUUACCAUAAUUGUCCUUUAAAAAUAUGAGUCAGAUCAAGUCACUGAUCUGCUCAAAGCCCUCCAAGAUAUUCCCUUUAUACUCAAAAUACAAACUCCUUAAAGUAAUCUACCAGGCCCUGUGUAAUUUGGCCCCACUUACCUUACCAAGCCUCCCUUCUUCACUGCAUUCUCCAGUAGAAGCCUCCCUUUGGUUCCACAUAAGAGGCUGGUCUCUGCCGGCUGCCCUGGCCCUUCCAUCCAUCUUCCUGGGAUGCUUUUGCCAGGUUUGCCCCCUGCACUCUCAGACCUCCACUCAACUACCACCUUCUGUCCCCUUCAUCUAAACUCAGUCCCACCUCACUCCAUGAUCUCAUUCCAUUUGUUUUAAUGCACACAUAUAUAUAAUAAUUGCAUUACAUAUAUAUGUUAUGACUUGCAAUUAUAAUGCAAUUAUACAUGUUACUAUUUGCAAUUAUAAUACAAUUAUACUAUAAUUGCAUUACAUAUAUAAGUUACUAUCUGCAAUUAUAAUUACAUUACAAUUGCAUAUAUAUGCAAUAACAUAUAUGUACUACCUGCAAUUAUAGUUUACAUUUAUUUAUUUAUUAUCUCUCCCUCCUUUUAAAAAAUCUCAUUAGCCACUGUACUUCCAAACCCUAGAAGCGUGCCUGGCACAUAAAAGGUGCUGAAUCAUGGGUUGGAAAAAUGGAUCCUGUGUGUAGAAUUUUGCAAUAUUUCCCCUCCUAAGCGCAGGGUUUUACUUUGAUCUGGUUAAAUUUUAUUUCUAACUGUUGAUUUCUCUGCUCACUGUUCACUUGUCAAUAUUAUUUUGAAUAUUACUUUGUUGUUAAUCAUAUUAGAUAUUUCUCUCAGCUGUUGAUCAUGAAAAAUGUAAGUACUCCCUACAGUUGUAUCAAGAAGCAAAAAAAUGUAAGUUUCUAAUAAGCUGUAAAAUAUGCAAAAAACUAGUUAUGUGUGUUGCCAAUAUCAUAUAUAUGAUUAUAUAUGUAUGAAUAUAUAUAUGUUAUGGAUUGAACUGUGUCCCCUCACAAUUCAUAUGUUGAUGUUCUAACCCCUCGUGCCUUGGAAUGUAACAGUACUUGCAGAUUGGGUCUUUAAAUAGGUGAUUAAGUUAAAAUCAGUCCAUUAGGAUGGACCCUAAUUAAUCUGACUGGUAUCCUUAUAAGAGGAGGGGAUCAGGACACAAGAGAGAUACCAGGGGCGUGCACACAGGGAAAAAUGCACGCAGAGAAACAGAGAAAAGGUGAUUAUCUAAAAGUCAAGGAGGCAGGUCUCAGGAAAAGCCCUGCCAACUCUUUCAUCUGGAACUUCCAGGAUCUGGAACUGUGAGAAAGUAAAUUUACCUUGUUUAAGCCACCAAGUCUGUGAAGUUUUGUUGUGGCAGGCCAAGCAGACCAGUACUAGAUGUAAAAUCAGGAUAAUACACAAAGGCCUGCUUCAGAAAAGAAAUCAAAGGUCAGCCUACUUAGGGAAGCAGUAGGAACCAUGAGAAAAGGACAAGGCUCCACAGUUGUGCCUUCUCUCUGCCCCAUCCCAUCCCUAGUUCACAUGGGCUGGGGAAGCUGGAAGCUGAGGGCUGGCUGCAAACUAACCAGACGUCCUUCUUUAUGCUGUCCCGGAGACAGCCCCAGCCUCUGCCCAAGCUUGGGGCAGGGAAAAAAGGGGACUUGGAGAGCACAUAAGAGGGAUAUUUUACAAAUGCCUUAAGAAGCUAAAGAAGACUAAAAACUGCAAGUGAGUGAAAGGUUAUGCAAUGUGGGCUAAGGUGGUGUUAAGCAUUUCUGAAACUCAUUGGGGAAAGAGGGAUUUCAAAAGUAUAGUUUGGAAGAUUUCAUAGGGGGAAAAAAAAAUCAUGAUUAUACCUCAGUGAAUGGAGACUCUUCAAUUAACCAAUGACAUUUAUUGCAUAGGCUAAGUACUUUUUUUCCUACCAAACUGGAACAUGAGAAGAAGAGGGCAAUUUGUAGGUAGCGUAUUACCUGCCAUCACUCAUGCUUUGCUUAUUUUUCAUACUGCACUAAUAUCCUCCCUGGCUGCAGCUGUCUGGGCUGUUUUGGCUUACAUAUUUCAUGGGCAUUUAGGUACUGGAUGCAAGGAUUAAAUUUGAUGACAAAUGAGAAGGUAGAUUAUAGUGGUGGGAUUUUCACAAGUAUAAAGCCACCACCUGACCUGCUGAAAUCACAAGGGCAGGAAUUAAUGGCAUAGAAGAUACCACCAUAUAUUCCUUGGUCACUUUUCGUCUGUCCUUGGAAUAAGUUAUCAGCUCCCUGCCAACCUCGUGCAAAGGCAUGCACAAUCUGAAUGAUAUCCACAGAACACUGAAUGAUACUGUGUCCAAUCUGGAAGCACGGGAAGUGGCACUCAGGAAGACAUAAAUCAGUUUAUCAUACCCAGACCAAAAAGAAGGAAGCAGACAGGACACAAACAUUGAUUUAAUAUGAGAGGCUUUACAUAUGUUACCCUCCUUUAAUCCUUACAACAACCCUCAAUUUUCCUGAAUUUUAUUCUAAAAAUGGUGAGGCUCCGAGAGGUUAUUAUCUGCCAAGGUCACCUAGCUGGUAUAUGACGAAGUCAGGAUUUCGGUCCAGAUCCGUGUGACUUCAACCCUUGCUCUUUCCAAUAUACCCACUUUUUCUCCCUGAAUGUUUCUUUAGAUGGAGACUUUGCUUAACUGCAGCCUCCAAGAGGCAUGAGAAAUUCACAUGGAGGACUUCUAAAGGAACGGGUGGAAGGCAAUGCCUCCUGAGCCUUUGUAUGUGAAAGGCAUUCUGCUCAGCACUGCAAAGAACACAGAGAAAACCACCUAAAGAUGCUCAGAAUCUCAUGCAAGGGCUGAUUUACAUGUCACUUUUCUUUGAAAUAUUUUUUUAUUGCCGUAAGGGCACUUAACGUGAGACCUAUCCUCUUAAAAAAUUGUAGGCAUACAAUACAUUAUUGUUGAUUAUAAAGAUAUCAUACCUCACAAUUGUCGGGACGGCUAUUACCAAAAAAAAAAAAAAAAAAGCAUUCUGUCACUUGAGACAACACAGAUGAAUGUGGAGGACAUUAUGUUCAGUAAAACAAGUCAGGAACAGAAAUACAAAUACCACACAAUCUCACCUACAUGUAGAAUCUUAAAAAGUUGAACAAAUAGAAAAAGAGAGUAGAAAAAGAGACUGGGGGUUAGAGGAUUGGAGAGAUGUUAGUCAAAGAACACAAAAUUUCAGUUAGAUGGGAGGAAUAAGUCGUAGAGAUCUAUUGCCUAUCAUGGUGACUAUAGUUAUUAUACACCGGAAAAUUGCUAAGAGUAGAAUGUAAGCAUUCUCACCACAAAAAAAAAAAAAAAAGGUAAACAUAUGAGGUAGGGCAUAUGUUAAUUAGCUCAAUUUAGCCAUUCCACAAUGUGUACAUAUAUCAAAACAUCAUGUUGUACACCAAAAAUAUAUAUAAAUUUGUCAAUUAAAAAUUAAAUUAAACAAAAAACAAGUGUGGGCAAGGAUAUGGAGAAACUGAAACCAGUGUAUGCUGUUGGUGGGACUGCAAAAUGAUACAGCCGCUAUGGAAAACAGUGUGGAGGUUCCUCAAAGAGAUAAAAAUAAAACUACCACAUGAUUCAGCCAUCUCAUUUUUGGGUAUAUAUCUGAAAUAAUUGAAAUCAGGAUCUAAAAAAGAGAUAUUAUCACAUCCGUGUUUAUCGCAGUGAGUAAGAAAUUCACAAUAGCCAAGAUAAGGAAAGGACCCAUAUGUUCACUGACAGAUGAAUGGAUAAAGAAAUUGUGGUAUAUACAUACAAUGAAAUACUAUUCAGCUUUUAAAAAGUGAAAAAUUCUGCAAUAUGCAACAACAUGGAUGAACAUUGAGGACAUUAUGCUAAGUGAAAUAAGUUACACACAAAAAGACAAGUACUACAUGAUUCCACCUCCAUGAGUCAUCUAAAAUGGUCAAAUUCUUAAAAUCAAAGACUAGAAUGGUGGUUACCAAGGGCUUGGAGCAGAGGCAAAUGAAAUGUAUUAAUCGGUUUUUUUGAGAAGGUCAUGGCAGACGAGAGGCAGGACUAGAUUGCAGCUCCCACUCAGAUGGACAGAGCAGUGUGUGUAGUCUCGCAUUGUAAACUUUUGCUCCAGAACUACUGCAGAAAUAAUUCAGGAAAGCCAAGAGAACCCACGGACCCUCUGAAGGAAGCAAAUUGCUCCUGCAGGACCCAGGAGACACCCCAAAUACCGUGACUGCCCAAACUCUGGAAGUGAGAAAGGGGGAUCUUCUGCCUCUGAACACACAUGCUCACUAAGGAACCUGAAGGUCUACAACACGGAAGAAGAUUCUGAUCUAACCUGGAGCUGAGUCAAUUUAGAGAGCCAAGCGAAAUACAGGAGUAGAGGAAGCAGCGGGAAAAGCCCCGUGGGCUCUCUGCGUCCCCUGGGUAGCCAUUUCCGCCUUGCCUCACAGGGGGCCUUGGGGAGGACUGCCAGAAAAGGACUGGGAAAAGGCCACAAGGAGAAGGAAACCUCCAGCUGAACUUUGUAAUAAUUCCAACCGCAUGAGAAAUCUCCUGGCCAGAACUCAAGGGAGGGCAUGAAUCCUGUGUGCAGACUCCACAGGUGGGGAAGCAUGAAAGCCCUACUUACUUUCAUAGCUGGGAGGUGAGUAGCCUGGAGCUAGUUCUCAGCCCUGCUCACCCACUGCCUGGAAACAGACUCGGUGCUGUUGGGGGGUGGGUACAGUGAAAGUGAGAUCAUCCUUUUGGCUUGCAUGGGAGCUGGGUGAGGCCUGUGACUGCUGGCUUUCCCCGACCUCCCUGACAACCUACAUGACACAGCAGAGGCAGCUAUAAUCCUCCUAGGAACAUAACUCUAUUGACCUGGGAACCACACUCCCAUCCCCCACAGCAGCCACAGCAACACCCUCCCAUAAGGAGAGUCUGGGCUCAGACACACCUAGCCUUGCCCCCACCUGAUGGUCCUUUCUACCCACGCUGGAGCUGAAGACAAAGGACUUAUACUCUGGGGAGUUCUAGGGCCCUGCCCACCACCUGAUCCUCCCUAUACUACCACAGCUGAUGCUUUCUUGAAAGUGCCACCUCCCUGCAGGAGGCCAACCAGCACAAAAAUAGUGCAUUAACAACCGAAAUUAAGGACCCUCACAGAGUCCAUUUCACCCCCCUGCCAACUCCACCAGAGCAGAUGCUGGUAUCCACAGCUGAGAGACCCACAGAUGGUUCACAUCACAGGACUCUGUAUAGACAACCCCAGUACCAGCCCAGAGCCUGGUUGACCUGAUGGGUGGCUAGAUCCAGAAGACAGAUUACAAUCACUACAGCUUUGCUCUCAGGAAGGCAAAUCCCUAGGAAAAGAGAAAGUACUACAUCAAGGGAACAUCCCAUGGGACAAAAGAAUCUGAACAACAGCCUUGAGCCCUAGACCUUCCCUCUGACACAGUCUACCCAAAUGAGAAGAAACCAGAAAACCAACCGUGGUUAUAUGACAAAACAAGGCUCUUUAACACCCCCAAAAAAAAUCACUCCAGGUCACCAGCAAUGGAUCCAAACCAAGAAGAAAUCCCUGAUUUACCUGAAAAAAGAAUUCAGAGAGUCAGUUAUUAGGCUAAUCAGGGAGCCACCAGAGAAAGGCAAAGCCCAAUUUAAGGAAAUUUUUUAAAAUGAUACAAGAAAUGAGGGGAGAGAUCUUCAGUGAAAUAGCAUAAAUAAAAAACAAUCAAAACUUCAGGAAACAAUGGAUGCACUUAUAGAAAUGCAGAAUGCUCUGGAAAGUCUCAGCAAUGCAAUCAAAUGAGCAGAAGAAAGAACUUCAGAGCUUGAAGACAAGGAUUUUAAUUAACCCAAUCCAACAAGACAAAGAAAAAAGAAUAAGAAAAUAUGAACAAAGGCUCCAAGAAGUCUAAGAUUCUUUCAAACAACCAAACCUAAAAAUAAUCGGCAAUCCUGAGGAAGUAGAGAAAUCUAAAAGUCUGGAAAACAUAUUUGUUGGAAUAAUCAAGGAAAACUUCCCUGGCCUUGCUAGAGACCUAGACAUCCAAAUACAAGAAACUCAAAGAACACCUGGGAAAUUCACCACAAAAAGAUCAUAACCUAGGCACAUUGUCAUCAGGUUAUCUAAAGUUAAGAUGAAGGAAAGAAUCUUAAGAGCUGUGAGGAAAAGCACCAGGUAACAUAUGAAGGAGAAUCUAUCAGAUUAACAGCAGAUUUAUCAGCAGAAACCCUACAAGCUAGAAGGUACUGGAGCCCUAUCUUCAGCUUCCUUAAACAAAACAAUUAUCAGCCAAGAAUUUUGUAUCCAGCAAAACUAAGCUUCAUAAAUGCAGGAAAGAUACAGUCUUUUUCAGAGAAACAAAUGCGGAGAGAAUUUGCCACUACACCAAGCCAGCACUACAAGAAUGCUAAAAGGAGCUCUAAAUCUUGAAACAAAUCCUGGAAACACAUCAAAACAGUACCUCUUUAAAGCAUAAAUCACACAGGACCUAUAAAACAAAAAUACAAUUAAAGAUUAAAAAAAAAGUAUACAGGCAACAAAUAGCAUGAUGAAUGGAAUAGUGCCUCACAUCUCAAUACUAACAUUGAAUAUAAAUGGCCUAAAUGCACCACUUAAAAGAUAACAGAAUUGCAGAAUGAAUAAGAAUUCACCAACCAUCUGCUGCCUUCAAGAGACUCACCUAACACUUAAGGACUCACAUAAACUUAAAGGGGUGGAAAAAGAUAUUCCAUACAAAUGCACACCAAAAGCAAGCAGGGGUAGCUAUUCUUAUAUCAGGCAAAGCAAACUUUAAAGCAACAGCAGUUAAAAAAGACAAAGAAGGACAUCAUUAUGUAAUGAUACAAGGCCUUGUCCAACAGGAAAAUAUCACAAUCCUAAAUAUAUAUGCAUCUAACACUGAAGCUCCCAAAUUUACUACUAGACCUAAGGAAUGAAAUAGACAGCAACAAAAUAAUAGUGGGGGACUUCAAUACUCCACUGACAGCACUAGACAGGUCAUCAAGACAGAAAGUCAACAAAAAAAAUGGAUUUAAACUAUACCCUGGAAUAAAUGAACUUAACAUAUUUACAGAACAUUCUACCCACAAACCUCAGAAUAUACAUUCUACUCAUCAGCUCAUGGGACUUUCUCCAAGAUAGACCAUAUGAUAGGCUAUAAAAAAGCCUCAAUAAAUUUAAUAAAAUUGAAAUUAUAUCAAGCACUCUCUCAGACCACAGUGGAAUAAAACCGGAAAUCAACUCUAAAAGGAACUUUCAAAACCAUGCAAAUACAUGGAAAUUAAAUAAUCUGCUCCUGAAUGAUCGAUCAUUGGGUCAACAAUGAAAUCAAGAUGGAAAUUAAAAAUCUCUUCAAACUAAAUUACAAUAGUGACAUAACGUAUCAAAACAUCUGGGAUAUAGCAAAGGUGUAAGAGGAAAGUUCAUAGCCCUAAAUGCAUACAUCAAAAAGUCUGAAAGAGCACAAACAGACAAUCUAAGGUCACACCUCGAGGAGCUAGAGAAAAAAGAACAAACCAAACCCAAGCCCAGCAGAAGAAAGGAAAUAAGAUCAGAGCAGAACUAAAUGAAAUGGAAACAAACAAAAAAAAAUACGAAAGUGAAACAAAAAGCUGGUUUUUUGAAAAGAUAAAUAAAAUUGAUAGACCAUUAGCAAGAUUAACCAAGAAAAGAAGAGAGAAAAUCCAAAUAAGCUCAACUAGAGACAAAACAGGAGAUACUGCAACUGACCACAGAAAUACAAAAGAUCAUUCAAGUGUACUAUAAACACCUUUAUGUACAAAAACUAGAAAACCUAGAUGAGACGGAUAAAUUCCUGGAAAGAUACUAACCUCCUAGCUUAAAUCAGAAAGAAUUAGAUACCCUGAACAGACCAAUAAUAAGCAGUGAGAUUGAAAUGGUAAUUUAAAAAUUAACAACAACAACAACAAGAAAAAUCCAGGACCAGAUGGUUUCAAAGCUGAAUUCUACCAGACAUUCGAAGAAGAAUUGGUACCAAUCCUAUUGACACUAUUCCACAAGACAAAGAGGGAAUCCUCCCUAAAUCAUUCUAUGAAGCCGCUAUCACCCUAAUACAAAAACCAGGAAAGGCAUAAACAAAAAAGAAAACUACAGACCAAUAUCCCUGUUGAACAUAGAUGCAAAAAUCCUUAACAAAAUACUAGCUAACCUAAUCCAACAACAUAUCAAAAAGAUAAUCCACCAUGACCAAGUGGGUUUUAUACCAGAGAUGCAGGAAUGAUUUAACAUAUACAAAUCAAUAAAUGUGAUACACCACAUAAACAGAAUUAAAAACAAAAAUCACAUGAUCAUCUCAAUAGACACAGCAAAUUAAACAAAAUCCAGCAUCCCUUUAUGAUUUAAACUCUCAGCAAAAUCGGCAUACAAGAGGCAUAACUCAAUGUAAUAAAAGCCAUCUAUGACAAACCCACAGCCAACAUAAUACUAAAUGGGGAAAAGUUCAAAGCAUUCACUCUGAGAACUGGAACAAGACAAGGAUGCCCAAUCUCACUACUUCUCUUCAACAUAAGUACUUGAAGUUCUAAAAAGAGCAAUCAGACAAGAGAAAGAAAUAAAGUGCAUCCAAAUCAGUAAAGAGGAAGUCAAACUGUCUCUGCUGAUGGUAUGAUUGUAUACCUAGAAAACCCUAAAGACUCCUCCAAAAAGCUCCUAGAACUCCAGCAAAGUUUCUGGAUACAAAAUUAAUGUACACAAAUCAGCAGCUGUCCUGUACACCAAUAGCGACCAAGCUGAGAAUCAAACCAAGAACUCAACCCCUUUUACAAUAGCGGCAAAAAAAAACAAAACAACAACAACAAAAACUUGGGAAUACACCUAACCAAGGAGGUGAAAGACCUCUACAAAGAAAACUACAAAACCCUGCUGAAAGAAAUCAGAGACAGCACAAACAAAUGGAAACAUGUCCCUUGUUCAUGGAUAGGUAGAAUCAAUAUUGUGAAAAUGACCAUACUGACAAAAGCAAUCUACAAAUUUAAUGGAAUUCCCAUCACAAUACCACCUUUUCCAGUUCUUCACAGAACAAUAAAAAAAAAUCCUAAAAUUCAUAUGGAACCAAAAAAGAGUCCACAUAACCAAAGCAAGACUAAGCAAAGAGAACAAAUCUGAAGGCAUCACGUUACCUGAUUUCAAACUAUACUGUAAGGCCAUAGUCACCAAAACAGCAUGGUACUGGUACAAAAACAGGCACAUAGACCAAUGGGACAGAAUAGAGAACCCAGAAAUAAACCCAAAUACUUACAGCCAACUGAUCUGUGACAAAGCAAACAGAAACAUAAAGUGGGGAAAGGACACUCUAUUCAACAAAUGGUGCUGGGAUAAUUGGCUAGCCACAUAUAGGAGAAAGAAACUGGAUCCUCAUCUCUCAUCUUAUACAAGAAUCAACUCAAGAUGGAUCAAAGACUUAAAUCCAAGAUGUGAAACUAUAAAAAUUCUAGAUGAUAACAUCAGAAAAACCCUUCUAGACAUUGGCUUAGGCAAGGAUUUCAUGACGGAGAACCCAAAAACAAAUAAAAACAAAGAUAAAUAGCUGGGACUUAAUUAAACUAAAGAGCUUUUGCCUAGCAAAGGAACAGUCAGCAGAGUAAACAGACAACCCACAGACUUGGAGAAAAUCUUCACAAUCUAUACAUCUGACAAAGGAUUAAUAUUCAGAAUCUACAACAAGCUCAAACAAAUUAGCAAGAAAAAAAAUCCCAUCAAAAAGUGGAGUAAGGACAUGAAUAGACAAUUCUCAAAAGAAAAUAUACAAAUGGCCAACAUACAUACGAAAAAAUGCUCAGCAUCACUAAUGACCAGGGAAAUGCAAAUCAAAACCACAAUGUGACACCAUCUUACUCCUGCAAGAACGGCCAUAGUCAAAAAAAAUAAAAAUAAAUGGAUGUUGGGGUGAUGCGGUGAAGGUGAACAGGGUACACUUCUAGUAUAGAAGUGUAGGAAUGUAAACUAGUACAACCACUAUGGAAAACACUGGAGAGUCCUUAAAGAACUAAAAGUGGAAUUACCAUUUGAUUCAGCAACCCCACUGCUGGGUAUCUACCCAGAGGAAAAAAAGUAAUAUGAAAAAGAUAUUUGCACACCCAUAUUUAUAGCAGCACAAUUUGCAAUUGCAAAAAUGUGGAACCAACCCAAAUGCCCAUCAAUAAACAAGUGGAUAAAGAAACUGUGGUAUAUACAUAUAUAUAUGAUGGAAUAUUACUCAGCCAUAAAAAAGGAAUGGAUUUUUCACAUUCCCAGCAACCUGAAUGAAAUUGGAGACUAUUAUUCUAAGUGAAGUAACCCAGGAAUAGAAAACCAAACAUUGUAUGUUCUCACUCAUAAGUGCGAGCUAAGAUAUGAGGAUGCAAAGGCAUAAGAAUGACACAAUAGACUUUGGGGACUCAGGGUGAAAGGGUGGAAAGAGUGUGAGGGAUAAAAGACUACGAAUUGGGUAUAGUGUAUACUGGUCAGGUGAUAGGUGCACCAAAAUCUCAUAAAUCAGCACUAAAGAAUUUAUUCGUGUAACCAAACACCACCUGUUCCCCAAUAACCUAUGGAAAUAAAUAAAAUAAAGAAAUGUCUUAAUUGAAAGGCAUAAAGUUUCUGAAAUAUUUUUUAAAACCACCCCCCACACCCACACACACAACUAUCCUUAACACACACACAGUAUUUUAGUACACUGUUAAUAUAUAUGCCCCUAUGUUUUAAUUGCCAUUAAACCAAUCCAAACAGAUGAGAACCUGGCCAAUGACUGCCAUUUCCCUAACUUGAGCGAUUGCCAAAAGCAUUUGGUUUAUUCUGAGGUGAUCUCUCUUUCUGACAUUUAUUUUGGGCUCUGAGAGAGAGUUUUAACCCAUAAUAGCUGAUGGAAUGUGAUUAAGUGAUAGUUCCCAGCCUGUGAAGAUGCAGGGAAAAAACAAACAAACAACAACAACAAAAACACCUAAGCAGCAUAUCAGACAGCAUGCCAAAAUAAUCAUUUUACUGCGACUCAAGAUACCUUCAAAGAAUUGGCCUACCAAAGAUUAGCAAGUUAAGAGUUCAUGGGAGAUAUUUGCCAUUAGAAAGGGCAGUAUUAGACAUCACUGCUGCUGGUUAGAAUUCACCAAAACUUGAAUGAAUGGCAACCAGAAGAAACCUUGGCAGGAGGCACUGGAGACUUCAGGAGGAGAUAUGAGGAGACUUGAAGGGCAAUAGCCAACACAGCUGCCAGGGAACACACCUGCAGGGAGGUCUAUUGUUUAGCAACCUCAUGUAGCACUGAACGUUUAAGUGCUCCUAUAUUCAGGUAGAAUGCUGCUAAAAUUGGGGAACAUGUAUGUAUUCAUACAGACGAUGUUGACAAAACACUUGCCAUAAUACUAGGCAAAACAAAACCUAACAGGUUUCAUUCUAUGGUAUGAUCAUAAUUAUCAAAAACAAAAGCACAAAACUAUACAAAUAAAGGAGUUAAGAUGGAAAUACACAAAUCUAUGAACGGUGAUUGCCUUGGCUGGUAGAACGAUAAGUAGAGUUUUCUUCCCUUUCUGUGACUUCCAAAUUUUCUUGAAUAAUUACGUGCUUUUACAAUAAAAAAAAAACUUACUUUAAAAAGAAGAAAUGUCCUUUGUUUUCUUUCUCUCUCUCUCUCUCUCUCUCUCUCUCUCUCUGGAAAGUACACUAUUUUCCUCUUAGGAGUUGCCUCACCUGCUGUUUUCUGGUAUUCCAUUUUCCGUGACCCAAGCCAACACACAAUGUUCAGCAAAUGAAGAAAACAUGAGGGAAUUGGUGAGAUGAGAGUUAGAUUUGGGGGAAGCCAAGUGACUAAAAUAAGCAGUUAAUUCUUUAUCAUGUAGUCAUUCUGCCUGGCAAACACUAGGUAUGCCAAUAAGUACUAACACAGUGCCUAUCUCUUUUCAGUAUUAUUUUAAAAUGUUAUAACACCUGAGCAUUAUGGAAAUUGUUCUUUUUGAAGUAAAACUCAGGAUACAAUAAUCAACAAAGGACUUCCAAGCUGUCUCUAGGAGCAAGUUUUAUACACAAAUACAUAUAAUUGUUUAAUAACCUCAUAAUUUGUUCAUAAUUUAUUCAUAAAUAACAAACGUAUACAUAAGUAUAAUGUAAAUAUACAUAUCCCAAAUUAGUAAUAUUUGGGGAACAUUUUGAUGGUUCAUGUGAAAAUAGGACAUGUUGAAUUUGAAAUGGUUAUAGGACACUAAUGUAUUUCUUAAUUGUACUUAAAAUGCUAAAAUGACUCUGAAGAUAGCUGUUUAUUGCUUAAAAACAAAUAUUUCCAUUACUUUCUAGAAUAAGAGGUAUCAACAGCAGUAGCAGCAGUACGUAUUACAUUUAAGAGUUGAUGUGGAAAUCAGAUUGCCUCAACUCAAACCAAAUUCCUUAAGUCCGUGACCAAGGGCAAGUUACUAAAUCCUUCAAGUCUCACUUUCCUGAUUUGUAAAAUAGAGUACUUGGAGGUUUGAAAUGAUUACAUGACAUAAUUAAUAUUUACAUAGUACCUCACCCAUAUGAGGUCUUAAUAAAUGUUAUCCAUUACUGUUAUCAUCCUUACUAUCAAACAUGUACCAGUAGAACCCAGGCUCAAUUUUUAAAUCAGUCCUUUGCUGUAGAAGCCACAAGACGGCUGCAUCUGAGAGGAUACUGACAGGUACUGCCAGGAAGCCAUGUGUACCUGCAGGAGACCAGCACGUGUUGUAGCAGGAAGUUAGAACUCAGAAUUGUAAGUUGCUAACCAUAUUUAAGAAUUUCUUGUGCACUCAGUUUUCAAUGAUGGGAAGAGCAGCUUGAACAUUUUGGGGGUGUUAGGUACAGAAUGUAGAUUUUCCAGCCCUGUGUCCUUUGGAAUACAAGCUGCUACUUGUUGUCAAUGUUGGAAUGAAGGUUUAUUUUGGCAAGGAUGAGACUGUCUUCCUUCCAGAUUCUUGGGAAUUUAACAUGCCAGAUACUAGUGGGCUCAGCUCUCAAUGAAAAAGCACAAGAAUGGCAUCUGGUGGAUCUCCAUAUCCUUUCCAAGAGACCCAUUUACCCUCCCUCUCUAGCUCUAAUUCUUUUAUAGAAUAGGACCGAAAUAAAAUGUUUCUGCAUUUCCAAAGAUUUUAGUCUCUAUGGUAUAGGAAUUCCAAUGCUGAGACCUCAAUAUGAAAACUAGUCAUAUUUAUGGGAAAACUCCCAGGGUAUCUGGUACAAGCAAAUGUAGAACCACUCGUUAGCAACAUUUCCUCAAAUAAGAUUCUAUGCAGUUUCCAUAGUGUUAAUAAUCCCCACUGAGAGUUAGUUCACAAUGAAAAAUUAUGAACUAUAUAAGGAAACAAACCACCAGGAAGAUUAUAAGUACAAUAUCAGAAAAAAUAGCAUCCCCCAAAUUCAAAUUAAUAGAAUGUUAAGAGGUUACUAAAAUAUGUAUUUUUAAAAUUAUUAAAGAGAUAGGAGAAGGCAAAAUAACAACGAAGGAACAGGACAUAGUAAAAAUAAUUAGAGAAACUGGAAAAUGAAACAAAUGGAAUUUCUACAAAUGAAAAUAUAGUUACUGAGAUUAAACUCAGUAUAGAAAUGAAAUAGCAUAUUAAACUAAGGUGACAAAAGAAUUACUGAACUGGAAGCUAGAAUUAAAAAGAAGGUAAACAAACAGAAUAUGUAAAAGUUUUAGAGAGACAUGGAAGAUAGAAAGAAAAUUUUCAACAUUUACCUAGAAUAAGUAACGGAAAGCAAUAGUAGAUAGAAUAAGAGUAACACGCCGGGUGCGGUGGCUCCCGCCUGUAAUCCCAGCACUUUGGGAGGCCGAGGCGGGUGGAUCACCUGAGGUCGGGAUUUCGAGACCAGCCUGACCAACAUGGAGAAACCCCGUCUCUACUGAAAAUACAAAAAAAUUAGCCAGGCGUGGUGGUGCAUGCCUGUAAUCUCAGCUACUAGGGAGGCUGAGGCAGGAGAAUCGCUUGAACCCGGGAGGCGGAGGUUGCGGUGAGCCAAGAUCACGCUAUUGCACUCCAGCCUAGGCAACAAGAGUAAAACUCGGUCUUGAAAAAAAAAAAAAAAAAAAGAGUAACACUUGUUCUUUGGAAGACAAUAACUUGGAAUUUGAUAAAAAAGAUAUUUUAGAAUUGAAAAAUAUAAAUGCUCAGUUUGAUAAAGCAAGAUAUCCAAGCAGUACAAAGAAAAAAAAAGUUUUUAUCUAGACACAUAACAGUAAAACUGCAGCAUCUCAAGAUGAAGAUAACAUCUUUUUAAAAAACCAAUUAGAAAAAAAUAGUUCCAUGCAAAAGACCUACAAUUAAUAUGGCAGCAGACUUCUCAUGAGCAACAAUAAAGACCAGAAGACAAUGAAAUAAUUUUUAAAUUCUGAGAGUAAAAGAAAAUCAGUAUUCUAUAUUCAACUAAACAUUUUCUACUCAAAAAUCCAUACAUAUAUACGUGCUCUUUUAAUACGGGAGGUGAAAUAAUAACAAAUA